CCUACGGGAGGCAGCAGUGAGGAAUAUUGGUCAAUGGGCGGGAGCCUGAACCAGCCAAGUCGCGUGAGGGAAGACGGCCCUAUGGAUUGUAAACCUCUUUAGGCGGGGAGCAAUGCCGGGCACGCGUGCCCGGAGGGAGAGUACCCGCAGAAUAAGCAUCGGCUAACGCCGUGCCAGCAGCCGCGGUAAUACGGGGGUUGCGAGCGUUAUCCGGAUUUAGUGGGUUUAAAGGGUGCGUAGGCGGAUUUUUAAGUCAGCGGUAAAAUGUCGGGGCUCAACCCGGGCCGGCCGUUGAAACUGGGGAGCGUGAGUGGGCGAGAAGUAUGCGGAAGGCGUGGUGGAGCGGUGAAAUGCGUAGAUAUCACGCAGAACUCCGAUUGCGAAGGCAGCAUACCGGCGCCCGACUGACGCUGAGGCACGAAAGCGUGGGGAUCGAACAGGAUUAGAUACCCCUGUAGUC
rnacentral:rRNA from 1 species